AGCUUUCCUAAGCCAACUUCGCCAAUUCUGUCGGAUCGUUGGCGCUAACCAUUAAUCCCAAAAGCUCGAGCUGUUAGAAAUACGCAACCAAUUCAUUUAAAGCGUCCAGAUACAGCGCCCACGGGUCUCGAUUAUGACUCGGCCCAGCCAGCCUCACGCCACUUCGACCAUGACUUGGCCCACCCAACCUCACGCCAUUUCGAACAUGACUCGGCCCAACAUGGCCUCCCACCAAAGAGCAAGAUGCUUGCCCAUUUCCGGCGGAGUUACCGGGAUUG
rnacentral:lncRNA from 1 species